GACGAACGCUGGCGGCGUGCCUAAUACAUGCAAGUCGAGCGCAGGAAGCCGUCUGAACCCUUCGGGGGGACGACGGUGGAAUGAGCGGCGGACGGGUGAGUAACACGUAAAGAACCUGCCCAUAGGUCUGGGAUAACCACGAGAAAUCGGGGCUAAUACCGGAUGUGUCAUCGGACCGCAUGGUCCGCUGAUGAAAGGCGCUCCGGCGUCGCCCAUGGAUGGCUUUGCGGUGCAUUAGCUAGUUGGUGGGGUAACGGCCCACCAAGGCGACGAUGCAUAGCCGACCUGAGAGGGUAGUCGGCCACACUGGGACUGAGACACGGCCCAGACUCCUACGGGAGGCAGCAGUAGGGAAUCUUCCACAAUGGACGAAAGUCUGAUGGAGCAACGCCGCGUGAACGAUGAAGGCUUUCGGGUCGUAAAGUUCUGUUGUAAGGGAAGAACAAGUGCCGCAGGCAAUGGCGGCACCUUGACGGUACCUUGCGAGAAAGCCACGGCUAACUACGUGCCAGCAGCCGCCGUAACAC
rnacentral:rRNA from 1 species